CCAUGCUAGAUGGGGAGGUAGCGGUGCCUUGUACCUGCAGUCCGCUGUAGCAGGAUUUAAUUCCUUACAUGAGGCUUUUCUUGCUGGUGCUUGUUUGCGUGCAAGCGGUGUUGAAGAUUGGAGCCUACGUCAAUGGGAACAUAUGAACCCCGUCAGGUUCGGAAGAAAGCAGCGGUAAGUAUGAAAUUUCAUGUGGUGUAGGGGUGCCCAGUUUGAGCUGGCUACAUUGCUUUCGCCUGGUAAAAAAGUCGAGUGUGAGGUGCAUGG
rnacentral:SRP_RNA from 1 species